GUCUCGAGGGCUCGACGGUAGAGCAUACGAUUGAAGAUCGUAGGGCGCAGGUUCAACUCCUGCUCGGGACA
rfam:Rhizophagus irregularis DAOM 181602 strain DAOM 197198 GLOINscaffold_4832_Cont4827 mitochondrial, whole genome shotgun sequence.